GCCCGGGUAGCUCAGAUGGUAGAGCAACUCCAUGGUAAGGAGUAGGUCGCCGGUUCAAUUCCGGCCUCGGGCUCCA
rnacentral:tRNA from 1 species